GUUGUUUUUCUUCCUGUACCAGAGGGAACAAACAACAAGUUAAUUUCCUUGUUGGGAAAUGAUGGUUGGACUUUUCGAGCUUCAGCCAAGUGGCACUCCAGUGUCUUGAUCUGCAACUUAUCUCCAAGGAAAUCCCUAGGGGCACAUCUCAAGACAUGUGGACACUUCAGUCAUUCCCAGAAGCACAGAUCCUUCCAAGUAACUCGGGGAGAGUGGAGCCUUGCUGUCAAAGGAGCAUGUUAGCAAAACUCCCCAAAAUGUCUCUGUUUAUCUCCUCAAGCAGACACUGCAGAGGGAAAGCAAUAGUCUAACCACACCAUAACAUGAAGAAAGAAGAGAGAUGAACUACAAUAAUUCUCUUUUCCUCUUGCUAGCCCUAGAAUUUAAUUUCCAGAUUUUAGACUCUGUUAAAGUCUAAACAUAGCAACAUGGCAUUGAAAUG
rnacentral:lncRNA from 1 species